rnacentral:rRNA from 1 species
CCUACGGGCGGCAGCAGUGAGGAAUAUUGGUCAAUGGGCGCGAGCCUGAACCAGCCAAGUAGCGUGAAUGAUGACUGCCCUACGGUUUUUAAACUUCUUUUAUAAAGGAAUAAAGUGAGGCACGUGUGCCUUUUUCUAUGUAUUUUAUGAAUAAGCAACGGCUAACUCCAUGCCAGCAGCCGCGGUAAUACGGGGGAUGCAAGCGUUAUCCAGUUUUAUUGGGUUUAAAGGGUGCGUAGGCUGUGAGGUAAGUCAGCGGGGAAAUGCCCCCGCUCAACGGGGUGAAGUGCCAUUGAUACUGCCUUGCUGGAGUGCGGAUGCCGUGGGAGGAAUGUGUGGUGUAGCGGUGAAAUGCAUAGAUAUCACACAGAACACCGAUUGCGAAGGCAUCUCACGAAUCCGCGAUUGACGCUGAUGCACGAAAGCGUGGGUAUCAAACAGGAUUAGAUACCCCAGUAGUC